UACGGGGGGAGCAAGCGUUGUUCGGAUUUACUGGGCGUAAAGGGCGCGUAGGCGGCCUCCGCAAGUCAGUUGUGAAAUCUCCGAGCUUAACUCGGAAAGGUCGACUGAUACUGCGGGGCUAGAGUGCGGAAGGGGCAACUGGAAUUCUUGGUGUAGCGGUGAAAUGCGUAGAUAUCAAGAGGAACACCUGCGGCGAAGGCGGGUUGCUGGGCCGACACUGACGCUGAGGCGCGAAAGCUAGGGGAGCGAACGGG
rnacentral:rRNA from 1 species